UACGUAGGGUGCAAGCGUUGUCCGGAAUUAUUGGGCGUAAAGCGUGCGCAGGCGGUUUUGUAAGCCAGAUGUGAAAUCCCCGGGCUUAACCUGGGAAUGGCAUUUGGGACUGCAAGGCUGGAGUGCGGCAGAGGAGACUGGAAUUCCUGGUGUAGCAGUGAAAUGCGUAGAUAUCAGGAGGAACACCGAUGGCGAAGGCAGGUCUCUGGGCUGACACUGACGCUCAUGCACGAAAGCGUGGGGAGCAAACAGG
rnacentral:rRNA from 1 species